UACGUAGGGGGCUAGCGUUGUCCGGAAUCAUUGGGCGUAAAGCGCGUUUAGGCGUCCCGGUAAGUCCGCUGUGAAAGUCGGGGGCUCAACCCUCGGAAGCCGGUGGAUACUGUCGGGCUCGAGUACGGAAGAGGCGAGUGGAAUUCCUGGUGUAGCGGUGAAAUGCGCAGAUAUCAGGAAGAACACCCGUGGCGAAGGCGGCUCUCUGGGACGGUACUGACGCUGAGACGCGAAAGCGUGGGGAGCGAACAGG
rnacentral:rRNA from 1 species